rnacentral:rRNA from 1 species
GUAGGGAAUAUUGGGCAAUGGAUGCAACUCUGACGCAGCCAUGCCGCGUGCAGGAAGAAGGCGCUACGCGUUGUAAACUGCUUUUAACCGGGAAGAAACCCCAGGACGUGUCCUGGGUUGACGGUACCGGAGGAAUAAGCACCGGCUAACUUCGUGCCAGCAGCCGCGGUAAUACGAAGGGUGCAAGCGUUAUCCGGAUUCAUUGGGUUUAAAGGGUGCGUAGGCGGAGCGUUAAGUCAGUGGUGAAAUCCUGCAGCUUAACUGUAGACUUGCCAUUGAUACUGGCGCUCUUGAGUGCGCUUGAAGUGGGCGGAAUGUGCCGUGUAGCGGUGAAAUGCUUAGAUAUGGCACAGAACACCAAUUGCGAAGGCAGCUCACUAAGGCGAUACUGACGCUGAGGCACGAAAGCGUGGGGAUCGAACAGGAUUAGAAACCCGGGUAGUCC